rnacentral:rRNA from 1 species
AUUGAACGCUGGCGGCAGGCCUAACACAUGCAAGUCGAACGGUAACAGGAAACAGCUUGCUGUUUCGCUGACGAGUGGCGGACGGGUGAGUAAUGUCUGGGAAACUGCCUGAUGGAGGGGGAUAACUACUGGAAACGGUAGCUAAUACCGCAUAACGUCGCAAGACCAAAGAGGGGGACCUUCGGGACUCUUGCCAUCGGAUGUGCCCAGAUGGGAUUCGCUAGUAGGUGGGGUAACGGCUCACCUAGGCGACGAUCCCUAGCUGGUCUGAGAGGAUGACCAGCCACACUGGAACCGAGACACGGUCCAGACUCCUACGGGAGGCGGCAGUGGGGAAUAUUGCACAAUGGGCGCAAGCCUGAUGCAGCCAUGUCGCGUGUAUGAAGAAGGCCUUCGGGUUGUAAAGUACUUUCAGCGGGGAGGAAGGGAGUAAAGUUAAUACCUUUGCUCAUUGACGUUACCCGCAGAAGAAGCACCGGCUAACUCCGUGCCAGCCGCCGCCGUAA